ACGCGACGCUUGUGGGGAUGCCCGAGCGUCCAUUCAGAGCAGGGUCAACAGCUCCUGACCUCCUGCCUGCCUUAGGCAGGUGGUGGCUCCGCGCCACACCCUGGCCGCCGCGCCCUGCCUCGGUAGCCGCGCACGUGUGGGCAGUGCUAAUGAGUCACCAAGACACCGGUUAGCCAGGCACACACCACGGCUUAGAAUGCAACCCUAAAGCAAGACCCUCCCCUAGAGAACCUUCCAGCUGGAGUGUUGCUCCAAAAUGGGCGUCUGCUGGCCCCAGAAGGUCACAAGCCUAUUUAAGUGUCUGAAUGAUACCUGUGAGGCUCUGGGGAGGACGCGCCCUCACUGGAUUUCUGCUCUUUUCCUGGAGGGGAAACAAGCUUGCUGACUCAGGCGGGAGUAGAGAAGCGACCUGUUGGCCGUUGCCAGGCUCCUUGGGUGGCUGCCCGUGCAAAUUCCGGUGAACCUCCAUGAUCUUCUGCAGGACCAUCUAACCUAGCUUCCAACCGUAAGACGGGAAAUUCUGAAUUCACUGAAGAGAUCGGCCCCGCUAGGCGGUGUGUGCACCUCACCUCCGUCAGUCUUCCCGGGAACCCCGGGAGGUCGCAAUCAGACCACUGCUUUAGAGAAGAGCAAACAAUCUCAGGGACCCUAAAUGACCUGCCCAAUUUCCCAGCUGGCAGGUGAGGGUCCAGGAUUCCCACCUGGAUGAGUGAGAGAGAAUGCCUGGACCAAAGUCGCACAAAUAAUCUGGGUGGAGGCAGCACCAGAACCUUUCUAUCCUGAACCCUGGUUUCUAUUGUGACCUGCCGCUGCAUGUCCUUGAUGCCCAGCACCCCCUGGCUUGCUCACCCUCAUGGCCUCCUUUUCGCGGGAGAGGCCCGUACACAGUGAGCUGUGUUGCACCAAGACGGCGCUCCCCGUUAAACCCUUAACUGUGUCACAAUGAGAGAAGAAUCAAGUCUGAGAUGAGAAGCUCAGUAAACAUCUUUGCACAUCCAAAAUAAGGCAGCCCGUCACAGAAGUCUGCUUAUUUUAAAGGUUGUUCAGUCUGUUUAAAGCAAAUAGACCAAUCUCACAGUCUGCAGACAAGUAGACAACAAGCAGAGGAAGUUUCAAAACAAAAGGCCAGAAGAUUCCCUAACUCUCUUUAAACUGUCUUAUAAAAAGCACAGAGGAAGAAGACAACACACUCGGCUUGCAAGCAAUUCCUAAACCUUUCUGCUGGGUUUUGGCACUUUAAGAACUCGGGUUUAUACAGGGGCCUCGUGAAAUGUUAACAGGGAGCUCAGAUCUCCAAAUCCCCUAGUCCUCAUUUGUUUGUUCCUUUUUUCCUUACCCGCUGUGAUUCAUCCUGGCUCUACAAAAAGCCCCACUGGUUCAAUGAUAUUUUAAUAUGACAACCACACACUUACAAACACCUUGCCUUGAGGAUUUUGUGAGACUCAGAUGUGAUCAAAUGAGAUGAUGUAGGUGGAAAUACUUUUAAAAGUCUAAGGUACCCUUCAGAUGUGAAGUGUUAUUCCCAUAUAUCCGAGGUUUUGAAAGUACUGAAGUCAUCGGAGCACUUAGCAUCACUGUUUGGCAAAGUUGUGAUCCGGCCCAUUUUUCGGGACUCAGCGGUUACGCAUCUGGGGUAAAGCUUCAUGUAAAUUUUAGACUGUCCAGAUCUCAUUUUAAAGAAUACCCUCGCGGCAUGCUGGAAUCUGCCUAAAUUUAAAUAUGGAAUACAGCAACCCAAGUACUCCCUCGGCUAGGUACAGAAGUCACCAUGACUCAAGCCAGUACUCCUGGCACGUGGCCCUCAUUUCUGCCCGUGAAAGGCCUGCACAUCACUAGGUGCACAAGUAUUCACAAGACUGUGUCACCCAUGCACGUGGCAUCUCUCUUUGGGGCACCUCAGGCGGUUUGCGGGUGUUCUGUAACUCCUUCUCUUACCGUCUGUAUCGGAGAGGUAGGGACUGAUUGAAAGGACACCCAGUUUGUGGCAAGUGGAACCCUAAAGUGGUCUGCUGGCUUCUCUAUUCCAGCCCCAUGAGGUGCACAGCCCCAGACUGAAGAAAUGAUUGAUGCCGCUCAAGAUGAGCAAAUCUUGAAACCCCAAUUUUGCUCAUAGUUGGCGCCCUAUCUUCCUAAAACCAAGCCUGCUAGAAGUUUCUCCAGAGGUCAAUGUCCAAAUUUAUCUCCUGCUCACGAGGCUGGCGGCUGGACCCGUUACCUGAUUUAACCCCAGGCCCUACACAGUCCACACCUUGGACCUGACCCGGCAGCCGAGGUCAUGACUCCCUUGCUGUGACCAGGCCUUCGGAUGAAACCUUCCAUGGCUCCUUGGGGCCAGGCUGGUGGCCCUACCUUCUUGGGAGCUUCUGUUUAUGCGCUUUGUGGGGCAGGCUGAUGAACAUCAGCUCGCUCUCCUCUCCCGGCGCCUCCCUCACUGCCCCGGCUGCUCUCCCAAGCUCCAGAUCUUGUGGAGGACCAGCAACUGACGCCGCGUCCCGAUGAAACAGCCGUCCCCGACUGGGCCUUGGCCACUGGGGCCUCGGAGGAGGAGGAGCUGGGCAUGUGGCUGCUCGCUCGGCCUCCCUUCCCCUCCAGCUCUACCAUCUGUACUGGGGACUUCUGUCCCUGUAAAUUCUUGCAAUGUAGGAAAUGCCCAGUGGAAAUGCAAAAAUAAUCAUGUCAUCUUUCACACA